rnacentral:rRNA from 1 species
UACGGGGGGGGCAUGCGUUGUUCGGAAUUACUGGGCGUAAAGGGCUCGUAGGCGGCCAACUAAGUCAUACGUGAAAUCCCUCGGCUUAACCGGGGAACUGCGUCUGAUACUGGAUGGCUUGAGUUCGGGAGAGGGAUGCGGAAUUCCAGGUGUAGCGGUGAAAUGCGUAGAUAUCUGGAGGAACACCGGUGGCGAAGGCGGCAUCCUGGACCGAUACUGACGCUGAGGAGCGAAAGCCAGGGGAGCAAACGGG